rnacentral:lncRNA from 1 species
ACUAAAGGAUCUUCCAUCAUUUACUCCUAGCCUUCUGUAUAUUCACUGGGAGCAAAAAAAAUGAGAUCAGAUUCCAUCAAAAUCGCAUGCAAGUUAGCAGACACCAUAAACCAAGUAAUAUGCUCCAGGAAAGUCAAAAGAUUCAGAUGUGCACACUACUAACUCCAAGAUGCACCAAAGAGGAUGAAGCCAACUGAAUGCCAGUUCAAACUGAAAGCUGCCACAAAGACCAAAUCAUCAAUAAUAUGUGUCAGAAUCGCUAAUCAGAAGUCAAAACCAUCGGGGAAGCAGACACAGUCGAGGCUGAUGGCUUCACCAAGUCCCUGCACCAACUGACGUUUUACUAUACUUUCCAACUCUACAAUCUUGCACUAACACCUCCAACACUGCAAAUGCACGAACAACCCAAAUAAAAGGCAUACUUCAAAAAUUCUUCAGAGAAAGUGAGGCGGAAUUAUGAAGUCUAUGUAGAGAGUACUAAGAUUUUGAGGUUGUAGGAAACUCUUCCAUCCAGAAGCCCUGAACUCUGUGGAUCAAUUUGAAUACUCAGACUAACAACUCAGGAAACUGGUUUUCUAACCGACAAAAUAGAAAAAAUACGAAAUUAGAUCUGAAGACAGAUUUUCAUGUAGCAUGACAUGCUCUUAUCUUAUAUGCUCUUAUGGUAUAUGCCCUCAAACUUGAUAAUAUGGUAAAACUGUUCACUUAGGAGACUUGAUUGCACACUCUAAUUUGCCAAAGUUUAUAUGCUUGGAAGAGAAAAACUGUAUAACAAAUGGAUAUAAAACCAAAGUACCAAUGAGUGUGCCUCAUCCUUCCCGCCAGGAAGCUCUAUUUAUGAGCAUCAAAUAGACUAUUUCCACUUGGCAGCAAGGCAUACUAAUAGGCACACAAAAAGUUAACCUGUACAUGAUGUUUAUCUCUUAUAAUAUCAUCUUUGCAAAGGGAAAAAAUGCAGAACAACCAAAUAAAAGCUUAGUAUUGUUAUCUAAAACAGUAGUACAUCAUAAAAUCACCUAUCGUAUCAUUUGUUUUCCACCAAAUCUUAUUUCCAUUGUCUAGCAUAACAAAUCAUCACAAAUCAUCGAUCCUCUGAUCAUGAAACAUGCCCAACCAAAAUAUAAAAAGCAGAAAGGUAAUAUAUUCUGGGUGCAUGAUGGAAGGGCAACAUGAGCUAAAUUUUAUUGUCUCAUUUUAAAGUGUAAAGCAUGGAUUGCACAAUUGCACACGGAAAUUAAGGAGAUAUAUGUGCAGAGCAGGGUCCGCACGGACCUUCGGAUCAGCACCACCAAGCAUCAAAUAGAGGCAGAAAGAAAUCCAUGGUAUGUCAGAAAAUUCAGUUGCUAGUUUGCUACUACACCAUGCUUCAUCACACACGUACU